CCUACGGGGGGCUGCAGUAAGGAAUAUUGGUCAAUGGACGAAAGUCUGAACCAACCAUGCCGCGUGAAGGAUGAAGGUCCUCUGGAUUGUAAACUUCUUUUAUCUGGGACGAAAAAAGGUCAUUCCUGACCACUUGACGGUACCAGAGGAAUAAGCACCGGCUAACUCCGUGCCAGCAGCCGCGGUAAUACGGAGGGUGCAAGCGUUAUCCGGAAUUAUUGGGCGUAAAGCGUCCGCAGGCGGUUUCGUAAGUCUGUCUUUAAAGAGUGGAGCUUAACUCCAUAAAGGGGAUGGAAACUGCGAGACUAGAGGUAGGUAGGGGUAGAAGGAAUUCCCAGUGUAGCGGUGAAAUGCGUAGAUAUUGGGAAGAACACCAGCAGCGAAGGCGUUCUACUGGACCAAACCUGACGCUCAUGGACGAAAGCUAGGGGAGCGAAAGG
rnacentral:rRNA from 1 species